AUAAUUUGACAACUAUAAUUAGGGAAGUAUAUUCACAGAAAAAAGGAAAACAAAAAAAGAGGGAGGGGGAAAAGAAUGGCUAGUUGAAGAAAAAUAGCCAAGGAAAGGUUUUAUGUGUACUUUUCAUAGUGAAAAUGAGGUAAAAUAUUAAAUUUUGAAGUUGUAGGGUGUAACAACCCUCUAGAAAAGAAUCGACCAAAUUGGUAGGUUCAUAUUUAUUCACCCGUAUCGAAUCGUAAGAUUCAGUCAAGAUUCAAGUACAUUUGAGAU
rnacentral:misc_RNA from 1 species